GCAGAGACUACCCCUCGUACCUUUUGCAUCAUGGUUCAGCAAGUUUACUCAAGCAAAGAGAACUCUAGUUUGCACCCCCGAAACUUGACGAGCUACUCCGAGACAGCCAACUAUGGGCUAACCCGUCUCUGUGGCAAAAGAGUGGGGAGAUCUCCGAGUAGGGGCAAAAAACCUACCGAGCCAAGUUAUAGCUGGUUGCCCAAUAAAUGAAUAAAAGUUCAGCCCCGCCUAGCCCAACUCAAAUUAGUUCCACUAUGAAAGACAAAGAGCUUACCCGCGGGAGUUAAUCAGAGGAGGUACAGCUCCCCUGAUACAGGAUACAACCUUUUUAGGAGACAAAAGAAUAUUACCCAAUAAGGCCCUGGGCCUCAGUGGGCCUGAAAGCAGCCACCUGAUCCGAAAGCGUUAAAGCUCCGGCCGUAAAGAAGCCUUUCAUUAAAUUUAAAUAUCUAUUCCCCUAAACAUCAUUGGGCCUCCCCAUGCAUUCAUGGGAGAGACUAUGCUGAAACGAGUAACAAGAAGAAUGAACUUCUCCACGCACAAGUGUAUGUCAAAUUGGACCAACCACCGACAAUCAACGAACCCAAUAAAAGAGGGCCCCGCAUACUCGCCGCCUCCGGCCAAGAAAACCAUGCUAUUUAGGAUCGUUACCCCAACACAGGAGUGCUAAAGUAAGGAAAGACUAAAAGGAAGAAAAGGAACUCGGCAAACCUAGACCUCGCCUGUUUACCAAAAACAUCGCCUCUUGCACCACAAAGUAUAAGAGGUCCCACCU
rnacentral:rRNA from 2 species